rnacentral:rRNA from 1 species
UACGUAGGGGGGCUAGCGUUGUCCGGAAUCAUUGGGCGUAAAGCGCGUGUAGGCGGCUCGAUAAGUCUGCUGUGAAAGUCCAGGGCUCAACCCUGGGAUGCCGGUGGAUACUGUCGAGCUCGAGUCCGGAAGAGGCGAGUGGAAUUCCUGGUGAGCGGUGAAAUGCGCAGAUAUCAGGAGGAACACCAAUGGCGAAGGCAGCUCGCUGGGACGUGACUGACGCUGG